ensembl:snRNA U6 U6 spliceosomal RNA
GUGCUUGCUUCAGCAGCACAUAUACUAAAUUUGGAAAGAUACAGAGAAGAUUAGCAUAGCCCCUACACAAGAAUGACAUAAAUACAUGAAUUGUUCUGUAUUUCA